rfam:Strongylocentrotus purpuratus Contig111784_fixed, whole genome shotgun sequence.
GGAGUGUUGGCUCAGUCAGUAGAGUGUCCGCCUCACAACCGGGAGGUCGUGGGUUCGAACCCCGGCCGCGUCA